rnacentral:rRNA from 1 species
CACCGGCGGCUCGAGUGGUGGCCUCUUUUAUUGGGUCUAAAGCGUCCGUAGCCGGCUUGGCAAGUCCCCUGGGAAAUCUGGCGGCUUAACCGUCAGGCGUCCAGAGGAUACUGCCAGGCUUGGGACCGGGAGAGGUGAGAGGUACCUCGGGGGUAGGGGUGAAAUCUUGUGAUCCCUGAGGGACCACCAGUGGCGAAGGCGUCUCACUAGAACGGGUCCGACGGUCAGGGACGAAAGCUGGGGGCACGAACCGG